rnacentral:rRNA from 1 species
UACGAAGGGGACUAGCGUUGUUUGGAAUUACUGGGCGUAAAGCGCACGUAGGCGGAUUCGUAAGUCAGGGGUGAAAUCCCGGGGCUCAACCUCGGAACUGCCUUUGAUACUGCGGAUCUCGAGUCCGAUAGAGGUGGGUGGAAUUCCUAGUGUAGAGGUGAAAUUCGUAGAUAUUAGGAAGAACACCGGUGGCGAAGGCGGCCCACUGGAUCGGUACUGACGCUGAGGUGCGAAAGCGUGGGGAGCAAACAGG